AAUUAUUUUGAUUACGUUAUCUUAGAAUUAUUUGUUUUGUAUUGAAAAAAUAAUUUUUUAUUUCCAUAUCAUUAGGGCGUUUCAAAAGGAUUCCACGGAGGAGAAAUGAAGAAUCUAUUGUCGGGCACGUAAUAAGGCUAAAUCCGUUAUUCGAAAAGAGAAAAGACAUGCUCAUUCAUCUUAUUUUGAUAACGAAAGUGAUGCGAGGACCAUGUGGAGUAAGAUCAGGAAUAGUCGCCUAUUGAAUGGUUCUCAGGACGGUUGCCACGAAAUGGAUGUUAAUGUUGAAGAGUUGAAUGCAAGAUUUAUUAAUUACCAACUUCAGGACCCUGGCGAACUGUUGCAUUUUCUUUUAUUAAAUCCAAAGCCGCUGGAGAUGAUGGAUGUCUAAAAUUUCUUAAACUAGAUUUCCCGCAUAUCGCUACUUAUUUCUUGGGUUUGGUUAACUCAAUUAUAAUAAUGUCAACUUUUCCUUCCGAAUUGCGAAGAUUGCGAAAAUCAUUCCCCUACGGAAGAAGCCAACUGUUAUAUCUUGGUAUAACUUAAGACCAAUAUCGAUUUUGACGAUUCUAUCGAAAACUGUUGAGCAUGUCCUUAAACGUCCAUCAUUAAACCAUCUUGAAUCCUCCCUUUCCCUAAGCGAUUAGCAAUGUGGGUUUCGUUGCAAUAGAAAUACAACGGGUUUACUACUUGGAUUGACUGAUUUAAGUGGGGGCGAUUUUUAUGACAAAAAACUCUCUAUUCUACUGUCCAUGGAUUUAGAGAAAGCGUUCGACAGGGUGCAUUAUUCCAUUCUCCUUUAAAAGUAUCAGUGCGUUUGUGUGCAUGGCGAAACAUCUGGAAUCCUUCCAGUUAGAAGUGGAGAUCCCCAUGAUUCCGUAUUAGGGCCAAUGUUGUUCAUCUGUAUUCAUGAGAGCAUAGAUCCAUGGAAGUCACUCAACAUAAGAUACAUGACGCUAUGCACAUGAAUGGCACGGAAUAAGUUAAUUGUUAAUCCUCAGAAGACGAAGUCCAUGAUAUUUUCUUCUAAACCAACAUCUUUUGAUAUUUCCUAUAAUGGCAUCCAUAUACAAUUGGUAGAUCAACUGGAAUGCUCAGGUGUCAUAUUAGUUGACAAGUUGGAUUUUGGUCCUCAUAUAGAGCGGGUUGCAUCACGUACAUAUGGCCCUUUGCGCCGCCUACAUAAUUGCGAUAUAUUGCUACCAAGGUCUAUGAGGACUAAACUGGUUCAUGCUCUUAUAAUGCCCAAUAUUCUCUACUGUUUAGAGGUUUAUUGUGGUACAUCGGCCCAGAGUAUGGACAGGGUGCGCAAAGCCUUUAAUAGUGCUAUGCGUUAUCUAUAUUCCGUUAAUAGUUUAGUUUAGGCUGCUCCUUUGUGGAUUAUGUGAACUUAAGGUGCCUUCUAUUUUUUUUUAUAAAUUUUUUAAAUUUCAAAGUCCACAGUUUCUUCUUUGGUUGUUUCAUUUCUCACGCUCUUCCCGCUCAAUACAUUUAAAUAUUCCCCGAUUCUCACAACACAUGGAUAAAUCAUUUCAGGUGAAAGUGGAGCGCCUUUUUAAUAUUCUGCCCGGAUGCACGGAAGUCUUUUAAUAUGUCUUUGCCUACCGGAAAAAGCUUCUUGAAUAUUUUGUUAUCAA